ensembl:lncRNA
AUGCUUUCUGAGGCUGCUGGAACAUCGGAGUGCUGGUGGCUUGGUGUUGGUGUAUCUUGGUCUCUUGUUGCAGCUCAGCACCGAGAACAAAGCAACUGCCUUGUGAACAGAAGGACCCUUCCUGUGAAGGGGAAAAAACUGUGCAAAGUGGACUUGCUGCAUGCCCUAUUUUGUCCAGCAGAAGAUAUGGCAAGGCUGACCCUUGUUAUUCUUGUUGCUGUGGCACUGAGAAAGUUUUGUAAAUUUGCUGGCAGACCAAUACAAAAACAACAAAAACAAAUAAAAAACCACCUCUUAAACAUUUUCUGAAACAUUUGCAGUUUUCUACACCCAGCAAAACAUGAUAAUAGAGGGUAGGAUGGCAUAUCAUGCAUCAGUGAUGGUAAGUUUAAGUAGGUUUCCUUCCCUUCUUCAGCAAUCAAUAAUUUGGAAAAUGCCACAAAGAGAUAUCACUCACAUAUUUUUAGUAAGUACUCUAAAGACACGUUCAAAGAGGUUUUCUUCCUGUUCUUCAGAAUUCCAGUUGACUUCUAAAUAAUGGUGCUCGUGGUGAAAACUGAUGUGUGUGAUGGUCAGCUGCAGUGAGUGGGUGCUGUGAGAUUCUUUCAUGUGCCUGGAAAUGCUGGCAAUAGCCUCAGACAUGUGACAUACAAAGCUUCGUAUAGUAUUUUCUGCUUCGUAGCUCCUGGUUGGUACCUUGCAAGCUGGGAUUGUUUCUUGUGAGAAACAGAAGUUUGGAAUUUGGCUGUAGUUUCGCUGUAGUAGUUUGCUUGGGCAACUGAGCUCUGCCCCAUGCUGCUGCUUGGUUGUAUGGUGGUUACUUCUUAUCCCAUUCCUUUUCUCUUCAUGCUUUAGAGUACAAAGUAACCUCUGCAUCUCAAUCCAGUGUUGAAGGGUGAAGAUAUCUGGCGGUAUUUUCUGCAUCCAAAGGUUCAAGUAGAGCUAGUUUUCCAGGUCUGACCUGAAAGCCAAGUUUCUUCAGAAUUAGGAAACAUAUACAGCUGGUAAAUGCUUAGGGAAAAUUGUGUUUGAAUAUAGUCAGAAGCCUUUCUAAGCCCAUGAACGUCCAAACCUUCCCCUGAUACAUUAUUGAUCAAUUAUCCAUCAGGGGUGACAGUGUUGAUAAAUUUGGUGAAAACAUUUCCACAUUUUUUAUUUUUUGCUUCUUUAGCUUCUAGCUUUUGUACUGGGGAAGAAAACCAUCUAUUCAAGCUGAUGUGCACUUAUUGCAUACCCUACUUGUUGAGUGUGUUUUUGUCAAGCAAAGGCACAGUGUCCCUCCUGGGAGAUACUCGAAGUCGUCUGUGCAGCUGUCUGUAGGUGUCUCUGCUCAAGGUGAGGCUUGAACCAGAUGGCUUCCAGAGGUCCUGCCAACCUCAGUCUCUGCACUUCCCCUGACCUUCCUGUCAGUUGCAGUGAUGUGAAGCUAUGAAGGUGGGCAGUCAUUCCCUUCCCCCUUUUCAGUCUGAAUAAGCAUUGCUGAAUCACGCAAAUUGUGUUGAUUCUGCCUUCAGCCCUACAAAUGUUUUAUGGGAAAUACUGUACUCUAAUGCCAACCUAAGGAAAAGUGCAGUGCAGGUCUUAAUGAGGCAGAGUUGUUGCAGAUAGAUGGGCAGGACAGCUGACAGACCCUGACUAAUGUUGCUAGUUCAUAGGAUCAGAUUAUGCCCAGUGUUUCACAUCUUUGCAAGAAGAUUACUCUGCAUAUUAUGAUAUUGUGGUACAACGUUCCAUGAGAAUAGGAUGGUCCUGAUUCCAGAUUCCUAUCUUGGAGACUGGUGGCUCUUGGCUUCCACCUCCAAAAUAGCUGCCUCUUCAAAUUAAUAGAAAUUCAUAUACCUGGAGUCUUGUUUACUUCUAACACUUCAGUAUCAUGUCUUAUCUAUCAACAUGAUGUAAGCUCAACUGUGGAAACUCUGUUCCAAUUAUUUUCUCUUUCGUAGAAUCAUCAAGGUUGCAAAAGACCUCCAAGAUGAUCCACUCCAGCCAUCCAUCUACUACCAGUAUUUUCCCACUAACCCAUGUCCCUUAAUACAACAUCUAAACAUUUCUUGAAUAGAGAUUUGAUCUCUGUCUAGUCACAAUCCUUCUGUGCUCACAUAAAAGGGCUCCCCGGUAGCUGCUGGGUAGCAAGUUAUUUUCAGAUAAAGCCAGUUUCCAGCAUGGCUGAAAUUUGUAAUGUGGUGAAGCCUCAAACUCAGUAUUUCUGCAGCACUCACACAGUGAGGAUGAUGUGGAGGAAGAGCAUUAAAGAGCUCUGAAAUAGGAAUGAGGAAGCCUGGAAUUAUUUGUAGACCUAUCUUACGUGCUUUCCUUGUGAUUUAUAAGUGCAUUGUGUGCCUUAGGCUAAACUCUUGCAAAAUCCUUACUCUUUUUGUUAAAAUGAAAUGUACUGAGCAAAAUGCAAUGGGAUUAUAUGUUGGGUUCUGCUAUGUGGAAACCUUCCCAAACUGGCUGGUGUAUGAUAGCAAACUAAUGAUACUGGAUUGGACAUCACUCUUGUGGUUGUGUUCUUAGCAUGAGAACACAAGAAGAGUAAAAGUGCAUUUGCCCACAGGGCAUCGCUAUGACUUUUCCUUAAAGUAGGCACCUGCCAAAGCACAACAGCUUCAGAAGAGAUUUUCUGCAAACUGCUGAGACUUUGUCUUCAUUUGUGUUUAAUUUCCCAGUUCUCUUGAAAUCUCCCAGUUCACUUGGAAGAUGGAACUUCUCUUCAGACAAAUUAGGCUAAUGGUUCUUAUAUGUUGUUCUGAAUGGUUAUGGCCUGGUUGGUUUCCUGGGUUGGCAGCUUGAGUUCCGAUUACUGAGGUAACUAAAGGAUUUUUAUUAACCACAUCCUGCAGUGACACUGUUGGCUUUCCAACCAAAAUGCCAAAUGUGUGCUGAUCCUGGAGGUGUAAAAUUUCCAGGACAUUUGAAGAUAGAGAAGUUGUGUUUCUACGUAUUUUUUUUCUUCCUGAAAAUCCAAACCAAAAGCAGAAAAGAAAANNNNNNNNNNNNNNNNNNNNNNNNNNNNNNNNNNNNNNNNNNNNNNNNNNNNNNNNNNNNNNNNNNNNNNNNNNNNNNNNNNNNNNNNNNNNNNNNNNNNAGGUCCCUUCCAGCCCCUACAAUUCUGUGAUUCUGUGAUUCUGUGAAUGUGUAGAUUAUUGUAGUUCCCACGCUGAAAAGGCAGUAGAAGGCCACAGCAGUCAUAACACCUAAAUUAAGGAUAUAUAUAUAAAAUAAUACCUAAAUUAAGGAUAUAUAAAACUCAGGUAACCAUUGUUUUCUGGAGCUUUCUUCUAGGAGGUGUUUCUGACAGCACCUAGAAAUUCCUCCCUGAGUCAGAUGUCAAAUACACUGUCAGGCAGAUCGACUGUGCUACAGCAAAGAUACAGUAAUCUAACAGGAUGAUGCAGCUGAAGAGAAGAAACAGCUGAAAACUGAUGCUUUAAAUGCCACUUAAUUUCCUUGCUACAGUUCCCUCUAAUGCAGACAAGCCAACAAGAGAUGGAAACGGGCAGAAUCAAGUCUUCAGCAGGAAGCUUUCCUGUUGCUGACCGCUCCAGAAAGCAUUUCUAACUCUAUUUUUAGGCUGAGUGCUGCGACUGUCUCCAAGCGAAAUUCC